CAGGCCUAACACAUGCAAGUCGAACGGUGGUAGCAAUACCAUAGUGGCGCACGGGUGCGUAACACGUAACUAACCUACCUACAACUGGGGGAUAGCCCGCCGAAAGGCGGAUUAAUACCGCAUAACACUUGGGAGCGGCAUCGCUUUUUAGUUAAAGAUUUAUUGGUUGUAGAUGGGGUUGCGGGUCAUUAGCUAGUUGGUUGGGUAACGGCUGACCAAGGCGACGAUGACUAGGGGAGCUGAGAGGUGGUCCCCACACGGGCACUGAGAUGCGGGCCCGACUCCUACGGGAGGCAGCAGUAGGGAAUAUUGGGCAAUGGACGAGAGUCUGACCCAGCCAUGCCGCGUGCAGGAAGAAGGCUUUCUGAGUCGUAAACUGCUUUUGACAGGGAAGAAUAAG
rnacentral:rRNA from 1 species